GGAGGCGAAACAGACGUCCGCCUCCCCCGACGGCCGUCCCGACGGUUCCGUUAAGAUGUGAAUCGUCAUCGGGAUUACCGGUCUGAAGAACUAAAAUAAACGUACGAUAUAACUGACGAGAUUUAUAAGCGAGAAUAGAACAAACAACGUGUUUACAAUUAAAUAAAGUAUAUUCAAUUAUAUAAAUAGUGACCUUGAAGUUUAUUGGACUGUGAAAUACCGGCUAGCUGAUUCGCUCUGACCUGUUUUGAUUUUUCCUCUAUUUAUCUUGGAUGUAAUCUGGGGAUUUUUGGGUGAGAAGGAAAAUUACUUGGAAGUAGUAAAGAUGGUUGGAGAUUUAACUAGCUAAGGCAACAGAUACCCAUUCGAAUAGCGAAGUUUGGACCUCAUAAAAAUCGGCCGCCGCAGCAGCAGUGAUACCAAAGCUGUAAUAUAUUGUUCGAAAUGCGGCGCCCUGUUGCCAAUAUGUAAAACUAGAACCGUAAUUAAAAUAAAAAGAUUUCGUCUUUUAAAUUAUGAAAAUAUGUAUGUAUAUUAAUUUGUAUAAAGUAUGUACAAUAUUGACAGUUAAUUACAAUAUGACAUAGUAUGCACUUACAGUAUGCAUAAUAUUUAUAUUACAAAAUAAUAAUUAAUAAAAUAAAAAUAAAUACAUA